rnacentral:rRNA from 1 species
GAUGAACGCUGGCGGCGUGCCUAAUACAUGCCAGUCGAGCGAACGGACGAGAAGCUUGCUUCUCUGAUGUUAGCGGCGGACGGGUGAGUAACACGUGGAUAACCUACCUAUAAGACUGGGAUAACUUCGGGAAACCGGAGCUAAUACCGGAUGAUAUUUUGAACCGCAUGGUUCAAAAGUGACAGACGGUCUUGCUGUCACUUAUAGAUGGAUCCGCGCUGCAUUAGCUAGUUGGUAAGGUAACGGCUUACCAAGGCAACGAUGCAUAGCCGACCUGAGAGGGUGAUCGGCCACACUGGAACUGAGACACGGUCCAGACUCCUACGGGAGGCAGCAGUAGGGAAUCUUCCGCAAUGGGCGAAAGCCUGACGGAGCAACGCCGCGUGAGUGAUGAAGGUCUUCGGAUCGUAAAACUCUGUUAUUAGGGAAGAACAUAUGUGUAAGUAACUGUGCACAUCUUGACGGUACCUAAUCAGAAAGCCACGGCUAACUACGUG